GCAGUACUCCCUCCGUCCAACAAAAAAUGUUAAAAUUUGGAACUAUCUAGACAUUACUUAGUGUAUAGAUGCAUUCAAAUUUAAUCAAAGUUGAGACAUUCUUUGUUGAACGGAGGGAGUAGUAC
rnacentral:pre_miRNA from 1 species